CGUGUGAACGUUUGUGCGUUCCGCUGCCCGGUGGGCGGAGCUUGAGGCAGCUCGAGGAGCCUCGCACACUGAUCCACCCAUGGGGCCGUCUCGCAGAGAAGUGCGUGUGUGCGUACGUGCGUUCCGCUGCCUGACAGACGGGCAUAAGAUGGCCUGAGGUCUGCCUGCGGGGCCGUCUCGCAGAAAAGUGCGUGUCUGCGUAUGUGCAUCCCGCUGCCUGACAGACGGGGCGUAAGGUGGCCUGAGGUCUGCCCACGGGGACGUCUCGCAGAGAAGUGCGUGUGUGCAUGUGUGCGUUCUGCUGUCUGGCAGACGGGGCAUGAGGUGGCCUGAGAGCCCGCAUACUGAGUACAAGUGCAUUGUGUGCGUACUGUGGCACAUCGGGGCGAACGGGAAUAUUCGUUCGUUAGCGCAGGUGUACAGGUGUGUCGUGUGAAGGACACAUAACAACGAGGUAAGUCUGUGUAUUCAUUACGAAGUGGUGUAUUGGCAAGCCGAUUGAAGGAAGCAGGUGCAGCGUAGCAAGAUGUCUGAGCCUCCACAUGCGCACAAUAAACAGGGGGAGGGGGAGGUCGCACCUCACUGUGUAAAUAGUGCCUAUCUAUUUGAGUUAGCUGACACGCAUGACGCAACGGACGGAACAGGCUCCGUCACUGGUAACCUCACCUUGGCGGACGCCAAGGCUCAAUCUUUUGAUGAGAACUGUGAUACGAAAGGGCCAGAAGAGGCGAACGCCGCCUUAGAUUUCCAACCCUUGGCAGGUAAUACACCCAUUAUGAAUGAGCUCCUUAAGGUUAUGGCAGAGCUGCUGGCGCUCAUGGGAGAUGUUGUGGAAUCACUUCAAGAUAUGAAGUGCGGUCGCUGCAGAGCAAAGAAGCGCUGCAUCGACUCUCUGGCCUCAAGUGGUGAGGACGCAGAUGUCGGUCGGUACUUAAGUGACGAAAGUAACGUGGACGCACAGAGGGUGUGGAAAGGACCUCGGGCCUCGUCUAGCGAGAGCAGAAAUACAAAACGGGCCUCGGUUAGCGGGGACAGAAACACAAAACGGGCCUCGAGCAGCAAGGACAGAAAUACAAAAGGUAUAUCGAUCAGCGAGGACAGCAACACCGGAUUGGCCUUGAUCAGCGAGGACAGAAACACAAAACGGGCCUCGGGCAGCGAGGGCAGAAAUACAAACUGGGUCUCGGUUAGCGAGGACAGAAACACAAAACGGGCCUCGGGCAGCGAGGACAGAAAUACAAAACGUGCCUCGGUCAGCGAGGGCAGCAAUACCGGAUUGGCCUUGAUCAGCGAGGACAGAAAUACAAAACGUGCCUCGGUCAGCGAGGACAGCAAUACCGGAUUGGCCUCGAUCAGCGAGGACAGAAACACAAAAUGGGCCUCGAUCAGCAAGGACAGAAACACAAAAUGGGCCUCAAUCAGCAAGGACAGAAACAUAAAAUGGGCCUCGAGCAGCGAGGACAAAAACACAAAAUGGGCCUCGAGCAGCGAAGACAGAAAUACAAAACGGGGCCUCGGUCAGCGAGGACAGAAACAGUAAACAUACCACAUCCAGUGAGGACAGUGACACCGAAUGGACCUCGAUCAGCGAGUACGGAAACACCUCCUCUAGUGAGGAUGUAGAGAGCAAAUAUACCACAUUUAACAUGAAGGGAACCCGAGGACACAAGAAACCGAGGACUAGGAACACCAAACGGGCCUUGAUCAGCAAGGAUAGAAACACCAAAUGGGCUUUAACAAGUGAAGACAGACACGGAUAUGGGUCCUCGAGUGACGAGGCUCAGUCCCCGAACAAGAAGAGAAGGCGCGCUAAAUGUUUAAGAACAAAGAGUGAACAUAGAGAGCUCCACACCAAAUCAACAGGUAGGAAACACACCCAAAAGGAGGGGUAUGGCUCCAGUCAUGUCUUACUUGAGACGGUAGGGCUGAUGCAUGCUAAAUUACCCAAUCUCCAGACAGGGAGCGUCAAGAAUUACUGGACCUUUAAGAGGCAGUUCCAGGAGUUCUAUCUUUACUCAUCAGUCUCAGAUACAUACAAGCUCAACCGACUUUUCACCAGCUGUUCCGAGGAGGUACGAGACCUGAUAGAGCACUGCAUGGCUCUGCCAGCAGAUCGGGGCCUCAAGGUGGCUCUAAGGAUCCUGGAUGAAAGGUUCAGUGAUGAGAGGAUGUAUAUGAACCAAGCAAGGGAAGCUGUGAUGGGAGGACCCACAAUCGGGGAUAACGACUUUCAAGCUCUUUCCACCUUGUGUGGCCGAUUGACUUCUUACAUCUCCUUUGCCGAGAAUCUUGGCAAACUGCAUGAGGUUGACAACACCCCAACAAUGAGGGAUAUUCUGCUGAGACUCGAUGAACCCAUGCAGGCUCGAUGGACUGCCCGAUGGACUGGGAAAAGAAGCAAAUGCACCCAACACAUAAAGGACUUGCUCCAUUUCCUGGAGAAUGAAACGAAGAGAAAUCUCUACCCUUGUGGGGACGGAACAGCGGGAAUCCACCUACGUUACACUUAUGGUCGCAGGACUACACGCUAGGAGAUCAGCUACUAUGAGACUGACAAGGAUCAGUGUCAUAGAGUCCUUUCCUGAUGGUCUAACGGACACGGACACGAAAGCUGAACCCCUUCUGGCUGCUCACUGGCCUCAUUUGAGAAGCUUGACGCCUUUAGACAGAUAUGGGAAGCAUGAGAAACAGCUGACAGUAGAGCUAUUGAUCAGACAAGACGCCCCAACAGUGAUGACACCGUUGGAGAUCCGGAGAGGCUGAGAUGGAGACCCAUUUGCAAUCAGGACAAGAUUAGGCUGGGCAAUAAAUGGUCCCUUGAAUCUGACGGAACAAAGAACUAUGAGUUUCAAUACCUUUGUGGAAGAGGCAGCAACAGUUGGUCUCCAAGAUCCAUUGUUGGAGGAAAUCAUGAGACGAUUCUGGGAGAUAGAGGACCGUGAAGACCCAGAAAGAAUGGGGAUUUCAGUAGAAGACCAACAAGUUUUGGGUUUAUGGGAGACAAAGCAGGUCAAGAUUGGGAACCAUUAUCAACUACCAAUACCCUUUCGGGAUAAUACACCAUUGAUGCUUAACAACACACACACACACACACACACACACACAGAGAGAGAGAGAGAGAGAGAGAGAGAGAGAGAGAGAGAGAGAGAGAGAGAGAGAGAGAGAGAGAGAAUAUACCUACUUGUCAAAAAGGAAGAGGAGGGGGAGGGUGAGAGGUAAAUAUGCAAGUGUGUUGUGUGUGUGUGUGUAGCCACGUGGAGAGAAUGCACCAUCCCUGGCCAUUGUUUAGUGCUGAGUUUCGUCACCUGCAGAUGGCUGUUUUUCUCGCUCGUUUCAAGGCUCCCUCCCUCCCUCUCUCCAACCCCGCCCCCCACUCUUUCCAUGCCCCCCAACACACACACACACUCAGUUCAUAUCUAUCUCCAUUCUCUCGUAAUCUUUUCCUUCCCCAUCUCUCCCCCCGAGAUAGGAGAUAAAAGGUUUUGUUUUGCUUCCCUCUCCUCCUUCCUUCACCUCCUUCAUCCUUUCCACAUCCUGUAUUUUACUCCCCUUUACUCCCUCAGGGCCUCUUAACAGUUUUAAUUUAUCUCCCCACUCUCUCUCUCUCUCUCUCUCUCUCUCUCUCUCUAGAAGCUCACGCAUUCUUACUUCCGUCCCUUCUCUCCUCCCUCAAACAUCCCCGAGGCUUCAUCCAGUCUUACAGAACCACUUCCCUUCACCCUGCUGUCUCUUCUGAAGACCUUUUACAAUCAAACCUCCUACAACCUUAACCUCUUCACUCAACCAUCUCAUAUCUAGUACAGUUUUAUUUCACUCUCCCUCCCUUUCCAGUUGCAAUGUUCGUUCCCGCUUGAAUCCAAGCUCUUUAGUUUCUUAUAAACCUCUCAUUUUGUCCUAAAACUUCAUAUUACUUUAAACUAUCUGAAGUUCCUCUUAGCUACCUUCCCUUUUCAUUAGCUUGUAAUAUCCUCUUCUACAGUCUAGUCAACUAUUUCAUGAUAUCUUCUAUAAUCCCAUUUUCUUUCACUCAUAACUUCACUCUAUCCAUAUCAUCUAAACCUUCCGUCAGUGCACCUCCCCUUUCUUCUAAUCGUAAUCCCUCAUACAACAACCCUAUCAUAGUCCUCUCUAUCCCUCCCGUAAGCCACCAAGUAAACCCAGCAGAUGGCGUGGUGGUGGUGGUGUUGGCCAUGUGUUACUGCGGUGCUGUGAUGUGCGGUGGCGCUCAGCUGGUGUUCCCUCGCUCGCUCCCUGGCUGCCUCGCUCGCACAUGAGGGCCACGUGACUUGUACUGCGCUGCGGCCUCCCAUUGUGACGCGAGGGGCAGUCUGGCCAGUAGGAAGUGAGGCUGGGUGACGUCAGGGUGCUAGGCGGCCAGUCAGAACUAAGGGGUUGGAUGACGUAGAGAUGUGUGGCUACGAGGAAGGCGGUAGAUAGGAACAAACAUCUCAACUGGAGAGGAGGUGGCCAUCAAGCUAGAAUGCAUCAAAACAAAGCACCCACAGCUACACAUAGAGUCCAAGUUUUAUAAG